GACGAACGCUGGCGGCGUGCUUAACACAUGCAAGUCGUACGGUAAGGCCCUUUCGGGGGUACACGAGUGGCGAACGGGUGAGUAACACGUGAGUAACCUGCCCACAACUUUGGGAUAACGCUAGGAAACUGGUGCUAAUACUGGAUAUGUGCCCCUGCUGCAUGGUGGGGGUUGGAAAGCUCCGGCGGUUGUGGAUGGACUCGCGGCCUAUCAGCUUGUUGGUGGGGUAGUGGCCUACCAAGGCGGCGACGGGUAGCCGGCCUGAGAGGGUGACCGGCCACAUUGGGACUGAAAUACGGCCCAGACUCCUACGGGAGGCAGCAGUGGGGAAUAUUGCACAAUGGGCGCAAGCCUGAUGCAGCAACGCCGCGUGCGGGAUGACGGCCUUCGGGUUGUAAACCGCUUUCAGCAGGGACGAAGCUUUUUGUGACGGUACCUGCAGAAGAAGCACCGGCUAACUACGUG
rnacentral:rRNA from 1 species